rnacentral:rRNA from 1 species
UAACACAUGCAAGUCGAACGAUGAAGAAAAGAAUUGAAGCUUCGGCAGAAAUUCAUUUCGGAUUAGUGGCAGACGGGUGAGUAACGCGUGAGCAACCUACCUCUUACAAAGGGAUAGCCUCGGGAAACCGGGAUUAAUACCAUAUAACAUUGCGACGAAGCAUUUCGAUGCAAUCAAAGCUACGGCGGUAAGAGAUGGGCUCGCGUCCCAUUAACCAGAUGGUGAGGUAACGGCUCACCAUAGUAACGAUGGGUAACCGGCCUGAGAGGGUGAACGGUCACACUGGAACUGAGACACGGUCCAGACUCCUACGGGAGGCAGCAGUGGGGAAUAUUGCACAAUGGAGGGAACUCUGAUGCAGCGACGCCGCGUGAGUGAUGAAGGAAUUCGUUUCGUAAAACUCUGUUCUAUGGGAAGAAAAGGACUGUACCAUAGGAGAAAGCUCCGGCUAAAUACGUGCCAGCAGCCGCGGUAAUACGUAUGGAGCGAGCGUUGUCCGGAAUUAUUGGGCGUAAAGGGUGCGCAGGCGGCUUUACAAGUUGGAUGUGAAAUAUUGUGGCUCAACCACAAACGUGCAUCCAAAACUGCAAAGCUUGAGUUAAGGAGAGGUAAGUGGAAUUCCUGGUGUAGCGGUGGAAUGCGUAGAUAUCAGGAGGAAUACCGGUGGCGAAGGCGACUUACUGGACUUAAACUGACGCUCAGGCACGAAAGCGUGGGGAGCAAACAGGAUUAGAUACCCUGGUAGUCCACGCCGUAAACGAUGAGUGCUAGGUGUUGGGGG